CACCACGUUGAGGGGUAUUGGCGACAGA
rnacentral:sRNA from 1 species